AUGAGGAAGGCAGGUGCAACGCCAUCCCCUCCCAUCAAACCCGUGAGCAACAUUACAGAGCCGACACAGUCCAGUUUAAAUCCCCACCCUCCUGCCCCCCCGCCCAAAGAGAAGAAACCAUCCCACCCGGUUGUGGAGCCAGACCAAGAGGUCGAAGGCAAAGCGGGCGAGAAUCAGGAGGCGGAUGGUGACAACAGGGAGGAGAUGACGGGAACUGCCGUAGAAACAGAGGAGGAAGACCAAAAAGCUCUGGUGAGUAUCAGAGGUGAAGAGAUUCCCAGCACAGAGGAACAGGUUUCUGCUAAAGUGUCGGGGGAGACCAUGAGCAGUCAAGAGGAACUUGUUCGGCCUGACAUGAUGCAACGCAUAGAGGACAACCCAGCCGUAAGUCAGCCAGUUGUCAGACAGGACCACACUGCCUCAGACACCACGGACAGUUCUCUUCAUGCGGAUGUGUUGCACCCAAAUAGUGAGAUCCCCUCAGUAGAUGUCCCCUUGAACGACCAACUCACUGACGGGCUCAACCUGAGUCCACUGCUCUGCCACUUGCCUGCGGAGAAGAGAAGGAAUGCGGAGGAGAAAUCUGUGGACAGCGGUCAGCACUCGGACGAUGACAGCGAAGGCUCCGGGAGUGAAGACGCGCUGGCGGCUUCCACAGCUGCACUGAGCGGGAGCCAUGCUGGUCUGGAUGUGUUGGGUGGUAGCAAGGAUAACAUUCCGAUCACUGGACAACAUUCACACAACGUUCAGAUCCCUGUUGCUUUGAAGCUUCCUCACUCGAAGCCAAGUAUCCCACUCAAACCCUCCACCAAGGUCAAGUCAGCUUCCAUCGGAGAUCUACUGGCGGUCUCCUCAGAGCGUACCAGCAGAGCCGUGGAUCCAAGGGACCGGUCUCCUACUGAUGACGUCGGGAAACUUGAGAAGGAAGUGGCUCUGGAGAUGGAGGAGGCAGACGAGCUCCUGAGCAGAGUGUCCCAGUUUCAGGACGAAGGUGCCAGGGAGAGCACGCCUGGGAACAUCCUGGCCGAGGCCAUGGAGAAGCUGAGGCAGGCUGACCACGUCCUCAGGGAGGUCAAAAAACUGAAACUCACAAAGACCUCAGGUAACAGGAACAGCUGGUGA
rnacentral:lncRNA from 1 species